rnacentral:rRNA from 1 species
GAUCCUGGCUCAGGAUGAACGCUAGCGACAGGCUUAACACAUGCAAGUCGAGGGGCAGCACAGGUAGCAAUACCGGGUGGCGACCGGCGCACGGGUGAGUAACGCGUAUGCAACUUACCUAUCAGAGGGGGAGUAACCCGGCGAAAGUCGGACUAAUACCGCAUGAAGCAGGGGCCCCGCAUGGGGAUAUUUGCUAAAGAUUUAUCGCUGAUAGAUAGGCAUGCGUUCCAUUAGGCAG